CUNCUUUGUAAUCUGCUCAUGUAUAAUAAAUAGCCGCAAAUUAACUGUGCUAAGGUAGCAUAAUCAUUAGUCUUUUAAUUUAAGACUAGAAUGAAUGAUUUUACAUUUUAUUUUAUUUUUUUAUAAAAAAUAAAAAUUUAAUUAAGAAUAAAAAUGUUCUUAUAAAAUAAAUAGACGAUAAGACCCUAUUGAACUUUACUAAAGUUAAGCUGGGGAAGCUAAUUAAAAAUAAUUUUAAUUUUUUCAACAAAAUAAAAAUCCAAUUAAAUUGAUUUAACAAGUUACCAUAGGGAUAACAGCAUAAUAUUAUUUAAAAGUUCCUAUUUAAAAUAAAGAUUAUGACCUCGAUGUUGAAUUAAUUUUUCUAAAAAACGAAACCGUUUUAAAAGAAGGUCUGUUCGACCUUUAAAAAAUUACAUGAUCUGAGUCAAAAACCGGAGA
rnacentral:rRNA from 1 species